rnacentral:lncRNA from 1 species
AACACCAACAACUUUAAACGAUGAAAGCCAAGUGCAUAUAACCAGCCAAAACCUAAAACCCGUCUAAAUCGACCCAAAUCUGUCUACCCAUAACCAACCCAUCUUUUUUCUCUUCGUCACACAUCCCACGCGGAUCCGUAUGAGAAAAAUGCCAAGAAUCUUCUAUAAACACUCCUAGGUGUGUCAUCCAACGUUUGAGUCCCAAUUUUUUUUGGUUAAUUGGUACGAAUUCGUACCCACCCGCUCAAUUUUUAUUGGUUCAUGGAGGGAAUAUCAUCCCUCAAUCAUAUUGAUUGGGGAAUUUUUUAGAUUUCAUCAAGAAAUUCCAAAAUUAGUACAGAUUAUGAAGGGUAAACCCUAUCCUGGGCCAAAAAUUUUGAAUUUCCCCCCAUUGAAAAUCCCAAAUUUGUCCUCCAAGGUUGUUGUGCCCACAUUAGAUGAGAAUGAAAAGAAAAACCUAGCUUAUUCUCUAUAAAAAGUGGGUUUUAGGAGCAAAAAAGGGGUUGGCAAAAACUGAGGAAUAAAAGAAAAAAAAGAGAGUAUUCAAAAAAGAAAAAUACAGCUUCGAUUAGUAAAAACUUCAUUUUUGGGCAUUCGUCGACUAAAUUAGAGCUUCAAGUUGAAAGCGAAGACAUUUUCCAGUGGUUGUGAUUUUGAUGUUAGCUCGAAGUCCCGUCUUUGCUGCUCCGAAAUAGGUAACACCCUAUCUUAUUUAGUUUCGGCCUUAUUUAUUACUAUUCGUUCUAUAGUCGUGGUAAUAUUGAUAGCGUGCUGGGAAUUGAUUGUUGUAGAAGGCCUCAAAGGCCCAUUGGAUUUCGUGUUGAGGAAUGAUGUUUGUUAUUGAGUUGGUCUUUCUUUUUUUAGGUGUUUGAUUUACUCAUUCAACUUCACAUUUCUUGUUUAGCCUUAUUUUGAAUACAUUCUUUCACCUUCAUGUUCCUUAGUGACUUUUUAAUUUAUUUUUUUCUAAUCUGAAUUGUUGUUUCUUUUGUGGUUUAGUCACUGUUUUCUUUAUCGUUUCCUGCUUCAAGUUCUCUUUUAUAGCCUUUUUUUUGAACUCGUUAUUUCAUCGUGAUAGUUAUUAGUCUUCAUCUCACAGUAUCUUUGCUAGAUUCGAAUAUUGCUUGUCAUUAAUCCCUGCUUCUGGCCAUUUACUUCCUGCUUUACUUUUUAUUCACUGAUUUGGUUUAAGACACCUAGUUUUCCCUGAAAUAAACCUCCUUGUUUUAACCCUCUAAAUGCUUAAUCCAACUGACUAUUCAUUUCGGGCGUUGGUCUGUCUAAUUUGUUUAAUUGUGUGUUUGCAGAUUAUAAUAGAUUAUCGUAAAACCUCACUAAUUCUAUAUUAGAUAAUUAAGUUGUCUCUCUUUUUUAAUUAAUGUUGGGUUUAAUGAGAAUGAGAGUUGGAAACGUUGAGCUCUAGCGAAAACCUUGAGUAUUCUAACUCGGUUUCCCUAUGCUCCUCAUUCCAAGCUUUCCUAUCACUAAUUGAAUUUCCUUUGCUAAAGAUAAAUAAAUCCUUUUGAAGUCAUUUGCUAUCGUAGUUUCGUAUUAAAUACAUAUCGUUCAUCUUUUCAUCUAUGUAUAGGGCUGCCUAAGGAGCAUGUUGAGUUUUAUUCUAGCUUAACUCCCUUUUGUUUCCUUGUAGGUCUUGUUUAAAAAGGAUAAUCUUAUCCCUUCUCUUUUUGUGAAAAUAUGUUCUUUUGUUUCAAAUAAUAAAAAAAGAAGAGAAAAUGCUCAAAUUGUGGAUGGCUAUAAGUUUUGACUUCUACCGCCAUUGUAAUAUUUUCCUUUAGUUUUUGUUUCAAAAUACCUGUUGCUGAUAAAAUUGGAUGAUAUAUAUAUAUAGCCUUCUAUUCUUUUGGUUUCCUGGCAUGUAGUUAUAAUCUUGUCCACCUUUUUGAUCAUAUACCUUCCUUGGAGUAAUCGUGAAUGAAAUUAUGUGUUAUUUUGAUUAAUUAACAAUGAGAUUAUAGCACUGUGAUCACAAAAUAGUUCAAAUGAGUUUGCAAAAGGUUUAUGCGUCAUCUAUAUUUUCAUUAAUUAAAUGAUAUAGGUAUCAUGAUAUCACUUGCUUAACGUGUUGCUUGACUGCCUAGAUGUAUUCCACUUCUUUUGUUCUUAUGAAUUCUCUCCAUCUAUCUUUGGUUGAUCAUGUGUUGACUAAUUUUAAUUUUUCUUUCCCUUGAUUGGCUAAUUUUACUUUUCUUUUCCCUUUUUGAUCAUGUAUUCAUGGUUUUAUUUUUCUUGUUUUGCAUGGAAAUUUGUUGGAGUCCAAACGGACUCUUUGCAUUCCUUAAGGGCUUUCCCCUUUACAUUUCAUAAUGGGCCAAUGAGGCCCAUCUUAUUGAGUCAAUCCCGAAGUUUAAACUCAACAUCGAUCGCAUGUCAAAUGGAUAUAAUGAGUCAAAAGAAGAAGAAGGACUAAAGUCUCGUUUUCAAAGUGGAAAAGAGACUAGAAGUCCCAUUUUUCUCAUCUAUUGUCGUUUUUUUAUUAUUAUUUAUUUAUUUCUUCAUUUCAUUAUUCAUUCAUUUGGGCCUCGAAGCCAAAGUUGUAAAUUUAAUAUAGGUGGAGCAGAUUUUGAGCCCACGGGCCUAAAAAAUAGUUUAGGAUAGGUUACGGGCCAAGACCCGACAUUUAUAUUAGGACAGGUGCAAGUGAGCCAAAAGCCCAAUUAGAUUGGGACAAGGUCUAUUGAUUUGGGCCCAAUGGCCUAAAUCUUUUUUUUAUUUUCUCCUCCCUUUUCCCCUUUAUGUGUUUAUUUGCUUAUUAGUUUUGUUUAGACUUAGUUAAAAUCCCUACUAAGUCCCCUAAAUCUAUUUACACAAGUCUUUGCUGAAAAAUC